CAAAAUAAGUGCAGACACAAAAUAAAAUCGAACACAAACAUCGAAUGCCCUUAGAAUAAACUGUGAAAUUGUAAAACUCAUUAAAAUGACAAUGGAAUAAAUAAAUAUUAUUGACUUUGGUUUAUUGGUUGUGGAUCGAGCCUGCGACUGGCAGGACUAUUAUGGAAAUUAAUUAAAUUACGCACAGAUAUGGAUACUAGAUGGGCAGAUACGAGGAUAAUUGCCAGUUCAGGACCAGAAUAUAAUAACUAGAUAUUAUUAAGCAUUAUAUUUGAGUUAAAUGGCUCGAAAUGAGAAGGAAGUUGCCCCCAUUAAAGGGGUAAACUGUUGCUAAGCCCCCCAAAAGGGUUCCUUGGCCCCCAAAGGCAAACACCGGGGCCAUGGCUAAUAGUGUGAAAACAAAGCAAGGACCUCCACGAAACUGAAACCCAAAAGAGAGCCCACCAACAAGGCCACAAAGGACAACAAAAAAAAUAAGAAAUAUAGAAGAAAAUAUCGUAAAAUACUAAGCGUAAAAUAUAAAAAAAUGUUAUUAGCAUUAAGAAAUGGCCAAGUGUCUUACACACAAGUACAGUAACAGGAAUGCGGCUGGAGAAUGGCAGGAAACAGCAGGGAUCGCCACUAAAAACUGAAAGCGAACCAAAAUUUAACCAAUUUAUGGACUAAGCCCUCCUAAAACACUCUAUAAAGGCCUAUAAUAAUAGAAUGUCAAUGAAAAUGAUAUUAUUCGGUAAUAAGGCGAGGACGUAACAUAAGAAAAUUGUGAUUCCGCCGUAAAUUCUGUCGUCUUCGUGUUAAUUACAUGAACUCAAGCAUGACACCAUUUUGCACAACACUUAUACAGGGCCCACCCCUUAGGGGUGGUAGUGGGAGUUAUGGGCUCGUGACAGAGCCUAACGACAGAAAUCGACAGGCCCGAACAUGCAAAUCAAAUUAUUUUGGAAUAUAAAAUGCUUAUUAACGGAUUAUAUGCUCACUCAAUAUGACUUGGAGAGUGGAGAGAGUGAGAGAGUGGAGAGUGCCUCCCUUUUGGAUCUCCUAUUAAUGGCCGAUAACUUUAUUUAUCGACCAGCCUAGGCUAUCGAAAUAAAUGACACCACCAGGCAACCGGAAGUUAAAGUUACAAAAAAUGUCAGAUUUUGAAGAAGAAAUGGAGACUGAUGGAUGUCCUGGUUAAUAAUCAGGUGACGAAGAAAGGCACUCCCCCUCAAAGACAAAACACCAGGAGAAAAAGAAAUGGAAAGCCCGCCAUUAUGGCAAUUUAAUCGACCGGAAAUAAAGUUCUUAAGCAUCAUAAACAAGAUUUAAUGUGACAAAAAGGCAAAUCACAGUCGGAGGAAGGCGCUUCCCAAAGCCUCGCACAAAAUGUCAAAUGCCAUUUGGCCCAGAGGCGGCGACAAACAAGCCAAAAUGACACCUCCUCCCCAGGACUCUCGCUUCAGCCCUCCAUCCCAGGACAACCCUUACCUUUUCGCAAAAAAACAAAUAAAAAGAAAAGUAUCAACUAUGGGGGGGAUGGAAUGUCUUCGCGGUCUAGUUACAAUUUCAAGAGUUUUCUGUUUUUGGAAAAAAAGUGUCUCCCUAAUCUUCAUUGACUGGAUUGCUUAACAUAUAUGUCUUAUAUAUUUUGCAUAUAUAUUUAUGUGUG
rnacentral:sRNA from 1 species